UAGGGAAUCUUCCGCAAUGGACGCAAGUCUGACGGAGCAACGCCGCGUGAGUGAAGAAGGAUUUCGGUUCGUAAAACUCUGUUGUUAGAGAAGAACAGCGCAUAGAGUAACUGUUAUGCGUGUGACGGUAUAUAACCAGAAAGCCACGGCUAACUACGUGCCAGCAGCCGCGGUAAUACGUAGGUGGCAAGCGUUGUCCGGAUUUAUUGGGCGUAAAGCGAGCGCAGGCGGUCAAUUAAGUCUUAUGUGAAAGCCCCCGGCUCAACCGGGGAGGGUCAAUGGAAACUGGUUGACUUGAGUGCAGAAGAGGAGAGUGGAAUUCCAUGUGUAGCGGUGAAAUGCGUAGAGAUAUGGAGGAACGCCAGUGGCGAAGGCGACUCUCUGGUCUGUAACUGACGCGGAGGCUCGAAAGCGUGGGUAGCAAACAGG
rnacentral:rRNA from 1 species